UACAGAGGUCCCAAGCGUUGUUCGGAUUCACUGGGCGUAAAGGGUGCGUAGGUGGCUUGGUAAGUUUGAUGUGAAAUCUCCGGGCUUAACCCGGAAAUGGCAUUGAAUACUAUUGAGCUGGAGGUUUGGAGGGGGGACUGGAAUUCUCGGUGUAGCAGUGAAAUGCGUAGAUAUCGAGAGGAACACCAGUGGCGAAGGCGAGUCCCUGGACAACACCUGACACUGAGGCCCGAAAGCUAGGGGAGCAAACAGG
rnacentral:rRNA from 1 species